rnacentral:misc_RNA from 1 species
GAUAUUGUCAGUCAAAUGUGAAACCUGAAACACAAGCCACAGCAAGGUGUUUAUCUUUGCAUUAAUCACUUGAAAAAAUAAUGCACUAGCAAAAGUCAAAGCGCUAAGACUUGCAAAGCCAACCUAAAACCUUAACCCCCUGUUUGGAUUAAGUUUAUCGUGAUUUAUUAAUAUAUCAUAUCAUAUUGUAUUGUUUUUAUUACUAACAUGUAUGGUAUGGUGUAGGACGGUUUGAUAACCUUUUCUUGUUUGCUUAAUAGUAUGGUAUGAUAAAAUAAAGAUCACUAAAAAUACCCUUUGUAACUGUUUUAAAUAUAUAAAAGAUUUAAAAAUAUUUAUCUAAAUAAAAUAUUAAUUUAUAAAU